UUUUUUUGUUUGUUUGUUUUUUUGGCCCAGCAAUGUGCUGAUGGUUGAUUCUGAGAACAAGAGGACUCAGGGAAAACUGAUUUGAAGGUGUAAAUCAAGAGUUCUGUUUUGGGAGUUCCCGUCGUGGCGCAGUGGUUAACGAAUCCGACUAGGAACCAUGAGGUUGCGGGUUCGGUCCCUGCCCUUGCUCAGUGGGUUAACGAUCCGGCGUUGCCGUGAGCUGUGGUGUAGGUUGCAGACGCGGUUUGGAUCCCGCGUUGCUGUGGCUCUAGCGUAGGCCGGUGGCUACAGCUCCGAUUCAACCCCUAGCCUGGGAACCUCCAUAUGCCGGCGGGAGCGGCCCAAGAAAUAGCAACAAUAAUAACAACAACAACAACAACAACAACAACAAAAAGACAAAAAAAAAAAAAAAAAGAGUUCUGUUUUGGCCACAUUAAGUUUGAGAUGCUAAUUAAACAUCCAUAUGGAAAGGGAGUAGGCAAUUGGAUGUGUGUAUCUAAGCCCCAGGGAGAGGUCAGACUCAGACAGAAACUUGGGAGCCAGCACCAUGUGGAUGGUCUUUAUUUAUUUAUUUAUUUUUAUUUUUUUAUUUUUUGUAUGUGGAUGGUCUUUUAAAAAGCAUAGAGGAGGCGUUCCCGUAGUGGCUCAGUCAGUGGUUAAUAAACCCAACUAGCAUCCGUGAGGAUGCAAGUUCGAUCCCUGGCCUGGCUCAGUGGGUUACAGAUCUGGCAUUGUCAUGAGCUGUGGUGUAGGUUGCAGUUGCAGCUUGGUGUUGCUGUGGCUGUGGUGUAUCUGACUUGAUUGCUACCUUGGAAACUUCCAUAUACCGAGGGUAUGGCCGUAAAAAGAUAAACAAAAACAGUCCUUGCUCCCAGGGAGCUUCUGUCUCUAGGGAGAUAGGAAGAUGCACUUGAGCUCCCGUAUACUGAUAUGUACUGCAACAGUGAUAAACACAGGACACCCGGCAGUGUAGAGCUCCUUCCUGGGCUGUGUUUUGCAGAAGAAUUGAAAAAACAAGAGGAAAACAGGCUGAGAGGAUCACAGGCGCAAAGGAGAGUCAACUGACUGUAGGGCUUUCAGGAUGGCUGGGGCCUAGAGGGCUGAAACAAAGGGGCACCCCGUGCAGGGAGGCUCGGGGGCCAGAACUGACUGUCACAGGCAUCAGAAAGGUUACUUAAGGUGAGCCUGAAAAGAGUCUGUUGAAUUUGGCAACCUGGGAGUAUUUAUUUUUGCCAGAAUAAUUUUAGCCAUGUUCAAGGCGCUGUGGGGAGAGAAAUCAGACCGUGAGUAACCAGGAGGUAAGGAAUUAGACACACCAAGAACAGAGAUCGUUCCUUGAAGGGAAAGGAAGGAGAAAGUGCGUGAUGAUAAGGUUGCUGGGGUUGAGGGUGGGCAUGGGGCUGGGUUUUUUUCUUUUUCUUUCUUUUUUUUUUAGCUUUUGAGGGCUGCAGGCUGGGGGUCAGAUCGGAGCUGUAGCGGCCGGCCUACUCCACAGCUACAGCAAUGCAGGGUCCGAGCCGCAUCUGCGACCUACACCACCGCUCACAGCAACGCUGGAUCCUUCACCCACUGAGUGAGGUCAGGGAUCCAACUCACAUCCUCACAGAGACUAGUCAGGUUCUUGACCCACUGAACCAUGACAGGAACGCCUGUUUUGUUUUGUUUUGUUUUUAGUUGUUCUACCAUUAAAAAAAUAGUAUACAUCUUGGAGUUCCCGUCGUGGUGCAGUGGCUAACGAAUCUGACUAAGAACCAUGAGGUUGCGGGUUCGAUCCCUGGCCUUGCUCAGUAGGUUGGGGAUCUGGGGUUGCCGUGAGCUGUGGUGCAGAUCGAAGUCUGUGAGCUGUGGUGCAGAUCGAAGUCGCGCCUUGGAUCCCGCGUUGCUGUAGCUCUGGCAUAGGCCGGCGGUUACAGCUCUGAUUAGACCCCCAGCCUGGUAACACCCAUAUACUGCAGGAGCAGCCCUAGAAAAGACAAAAAAAAAAAAAAAAAAAAAAAAAAGUAUACAUCUUGAACUUUGUUAUAGGCUUGAGGGAAAGAGGUGGAAAAGAGGGAAAGCUUGAAAAUGUAAAAGUUCCCUAGUGGCUCAGUGGGUUAAGGACCCAGCACUGUCACUGCUGUGGUGUGGGUUCAAUCCCUGUCCUGGGAGCUUCCACAUGCCAUGAGCAUGGCCAAAUAAAUAAAUAUAUAUAGGAGAAGAGGUAAUUGAUGGAGUGAAAUUUCUGAGGCACUGGUAAGGGCUGGACACUUGUAAGGAUGAGACAUGAAAAAGUUUAGUUUUGGACAGGAGGUAAGAGAGGUGCAUGCAUAGAAAUAAAGAUAAGGUUGCAACAGGGCAUAGGGAGAUGGAAGUGAAGGUGUGCUGGUUAAGGCUGUGCUUUUCUAAUGGUCCUUAUUUUCUCUUGAAAUUUAUGAUGGGUCUGCUGCUGAGAGUGACUGUAGACACAGCAAAAGAUUGUGAAGGCGGGAGAGCAAGAAUGAUAGAGGCGUUGAUUUAUUUAAUUCCUACAAUGGCUUGGUAUGUUAUUUUCUGGGCAUUGGAGCAGAAACAGGUUGGCAGGUUAAUCCAGACUGGAGUUUUCAGUGUGGGUACAGCUAAGGACAGGUGGACCUGGACAUUGGUAAGGGAGGGAUUGAAGCAACAAGCCUUGAGUUUGGGCUGAAUGCUGCAGGAAGUGAAACAAGACUUUUGGUGACAGAUUAGGAGGAAACUCAAGGGGCUGAAGGUACUGUAGGAAGGCAAGGAACAGGUGUAAAGGGAAGAAGGGAAUGAGGGUAUUGAAGGGACCAAAACUUUAUUUUUUUUGUCUUUUUGCCUUUUCUAGGGCUGCACCUGCGGCGUAUAGAGGUUCCCAGGCUAGGGGUCUAAUCAGAGCUCUUGCUGCUGGCCUACACCAGAGCCACCGCAACUCGGGAUCUGAGUCACAUCUGUGACCUACACCACAGCUCAUGGCAAUGCCGGAUCCUUAACCCACUGAGUGAGGCCAGGGAUCGAACCUGAAACCUCAUGGUUCCCAGUCGGAUUUGUUAACCACUGAGCCACGACGGGAACUCCCCGAGACCAGAAGUGUGGUCAGAAAGUAGAGUAUCGGAGUUUAUGUUUUCCGAGUUUAGAGCAAAUCUGAGUU
rnacentral:lncRNA from 1 species